rnacentral:rRNA from 1 species
GUCGUAACAAGGUUUCCGUAGGUGAACCUGCGGAAGGAUCAAUUAUACGUAUUCAACCAAUCAAACCCUAACUUUACCGUGGGUCGGUCUUCGGAUCGAUCCGGGGGCGCUUGUGCGGUGCUGGUUUCGACCGGCGUUGGCCUCGCGUCAUUGCUCACUGUGCAUUUUCAGCCUUAAUUUUUUGUUUGAAAGAUCGAUACUGAUAUCACUUUACAACUUUUAGCGAUGGAUGUCUCGGCUCAGGCAACGAUGAAGGACGCCGCUAAAUGCGAUAAGCGCUGUGAAUGGCAGAAUUCCGCGAAUCAAGAGAAUGUUGAACGCAUCCUGCACCUUUAGGUUAUUCCUGGAGGUAUCUCUAGUUCAGGGCUGUUAGCACUUUAUGUUGCCAUUGAUGCAAGCUUUCGGGUUUGUUAGAUGGUAAACGUUCAUGUGCGCUAGCGACGGGGCUCUUGUAAGCGUACCGUUGGCGCAUGAAAUUCGAUGGCCUUCAUUGGUCACCUACGAUCACGCUUCGUGUAUCCUCGGAUGUUCAGGUGUGUUCGGUUAUGGGUGUCAAUGGGCUGUUUAAAAGCCUUUUUUUUUAACUGGCAUAAACUUAGAGAAGGCUACCCGCUGAAUUUAAGCAUAUAAGUAAGCGGAGGAAAAGAAAAUGAAUAUGAUUCCCUUAGUAAGGGCGACUGAACAGGGAAGAGCUCAAAAUGUAAAUCCGUAGCUUGCUAUGGAAUUGUAGUCUUGAGUGCUAUCACUAGGGUCAACUCCUGCGUAAGUUCUCUUGGAAAAGAACGUCAAAGAGGGUGAGAACCCCGUUCACGUGGAGAGUCAAUGACCUAUCCGGUGUGGCUAUUUAGAGUCGCGUACUUUGGAAUUGGUGCGCUAAAUGGGCGGUAAUUUUCGUCUAAAGCUAAAUAUUGGCCUGAGACCGAUAGCAAACAAGUACCGUGAGGGAAAGAUGAAAAGGACUUUGGAAAGAGAGUUAAAAGUGCCUGAAAUCGCUAAGAGGGAAGCGAAUGGAACCAGUUUCUUUACUUGAGAUUGUAGUCACCUAAGGGGAAUUUCGGCUCCGCAAGGGUCGUUGAUCUGACUUGGACGGUGGCUGUGUUUCUCUCGUUAAGUUGCCAUCGUGUAUUGGGUGUUCGGAGAAAAUCGCUGGGUGAUCGGGCUUCGCUUCGGUGUCGGUCGUUCCCUGGUUGAGAUCCAUACCCCGAUAUUUGUGCGCGGUAAGUUUUCACUGUGUCAUAAUCUGGGCGAAGGUUAGCUGGAGUCCUAGACUGCUGUUUUCCUAGUCCCGAUGAGGUGCAACAUUUCUUACCCCAAAUGAUGGCUAAAUGGUUUUAUUCUACCCGUCUUGAAACACGGACCAAGGAGUCGACUUCUAUCGCAAGUGUGCGGGUGGCAAACCUGUACGCGGAAUGAAAGUAAUGGUUACGAAUUUUUACGCUGUAACGGCCGACUUCGAUCUAUUGAGAGAGGUUUGAGUUUUAGCGAUAAGGGUCGGACCCGAAAGAUGGUGAACUAUGCGUGA